GAUGAACGCUAGCGGCAGGCCUAACACAUGCCAGUCGAGGGAGAAGCCCUUUCGGGGGCAGAAACCGGCGCACGGGUGCGUAACGCGUAUGCAACCUACCUUUCACAGGGGGAUAGCCCGAAGAAAUUUGGAUUAAUACCCCAUAAUAUUAUUGGAUGGCAUCAUUUGAUAAUUAAAACUGCGGUGGUGAAAGAUGGGCAUGCGUCCUAUUAGCUAGUUGGAGUGGUAACGGCACCCCAAGGCUACGAUAGGUAGGGGUCCUGAGAGGGAGAUCCCCCACACUGGUACUGAGACAGGGACCAGACUCCUACGGGAGGCAGCAGUGAGGAAUAUUGGUCAAUGGUCGGAAGACUGAACCAGCCAUGCCGCGUGCAGGAAGAAUGCCUUAUGGGUUGUAAACUGCUUUUAUAUGGGAAGAAUAAGGCGUACGUGUACGUUGAUGACGGUACCAUAUGAAUAAGCAUCGGCUAACUCUGUG
rnacentral:rRNA from 1 species